GUGAGCCAAGAUUGUGCCACUGCACUCCAGCAUGAGCAACAUUGCAAGACUCCGGCUCAAAAAAAAAAAAAAAAAAAAAAAAGGUUUUUUAACCACACUUUGGUUAAGGUUCUUUUUUUCCUUCCCCCAGGACCCUGACCAGCAGAAAGCCACUCCUUAAAGGCACUCGCUGAGGAUAGGAGGCCUUCAGGAUGUUUUUCAGACGGACCCCACCUGUACUUGUGACUCAUGACUCAACUGCUCCUGUGGCCCUAUCCAGAGGUGGACUCAGUGCAUGAGGACAGUGUUCCUUACACCUAUGAUUUCAUCCACAACAAGUCAGCAGCACCCAUUCCCUAGCCCCCACUGCCCACCAAAUUGUCCAUAAAAACCACAGCCUCUGAGCCUUCUGAGAGACUGACUGAUUUGAGUGGUAACUCCAGUUUUUUCCCAUAUGGGUCAGCCUUGUGUCAAUUAUAUUCUUUCUCUACUGCACUGCUGCAGUCUCAGUGAAUUGAUUUUGUCUGUGCAGUGGGCGAUUACAAGGUAUGAGGGCAGUUGGGAGGGGGUACUGGAACCAAUCCCCCAUGGAUACUGAGGGAGGACUGCAGCAGUCCUCUCCCCACCAUAAUAAUUCUGUUGGAUUUGGUUUUUAGUUGGCAUAGUCUAUCUUUGUAUGUAGAAUUCUAAAAAUUGAUUUUAUAUUAUUUUAUUCUAACAGGAGAUAUUUUCUGAAUACCCUACCUCUGCCUCUCCUAUCCCUUGCCACUCCUCUUGUUCAGGACCUUAAUAACCUCAUCUUUCCCCAUUACAUUACUAUCUAGAUUCCUCAGCUCCCAUCUUAGUUAAUUUCUCCUUCCUUCCUCCCUUCCUCCCUCCCUCCUUCCUUCCUUCCUUCCUCUCUCUUUCUUUCUUUCUCUCUUUUUCUUUCUCUCUCUCUUCUCUCUCCUCUCUCUCUUCUCUUUCUUUCUUUUUUUUUCUUGUUGCUCAGGCUACAGUGCAAUGGUGCGAUCUCGGCUCACUGCAACCUUCACCUACUGAGUUCAAGCAAUUCUCCUGCCUCAGCCUCCCAAGUAGCUGAGAUUACAGACGUCUGC
rnacentral:lncRNA from 10 species